rnacentral:lncRNA from 1 species
UUAGAUUUACACAGUAGCAUUAGAUAACGGUAGGUCGAUUAUUGGUACUUUGGGUUCGAUAUCUUUUUAAUACUACACGACACGACUGUAUACUUGCAGUCACGUUGUCGUCCGAUCAAGUUUUUGGCGACGUUGCCGGGGACCAAUUUAGUCGAUAUCGUAACUCCAGUGUUACACCGUAAAGACUAAGGCAAUUUUAAU